rnacentral:rRNA from 1 species
UCCGGUUGAUCCCGCCGGAGAUAACUGCUAUCCGAAUUCGACUAAGCCAUGCAAGUCUACGCCGAAAGGCGUGGCUCAAAGCUCAGUAGCACGUAGAUAAUCUGCCCUGAGGGCAGGGACAAUCGCGGGAAACUGCGGCUAAUCCCUGAUAGGUGAAAGAUACUGGAAUGUUCUUUCGCUGAAAGAUUCGUCGCCUCAGGAUGAGUCUGCGGCCGAUUAGGUUGUUGGUAGGGUAAUUACCUAUCAAGCCGAUAAUCGGUGCGGGCCUUGACAGAGGAAGCCCGGAGUUCUAUUCUGAGACAACAAUAGAGGUCCUACGGGACGCAGCAGGCGCGAAAAUUCCGCAAUGCACGAAAGUGUGACGGGGGAAUUCGGAGUGCUAUCCGUUUUACGGGUAGCUUUUGCCGAGUGUAAACAACUCGGAGAAUAAGCCGUGGGUAAUACAGGUGCCAGCCGCCGCGGUAAUACCUGAGCAGCGAGUGGUUAUCACGAUUAUUGGGUUUAAAGCGUUCGUAGCCGGCCCGGUAAGUUCCUAGUGAAAUCCCACAGCAAACUGUGGGGAUGGCUGGGGGUACUGCCAGGCUUGGGACCGGGAGAGGUACAGGGUAUUCUUGGGGUAGGGGUAAAACGCAGGCCGUGAGCAGUCACCGCCGCUUACUAUCCUAUAAUCCCAAGAGGACCACCAGAAAGCGGAGGCACAAAAAUAACAGUGCCUCCUUUUGGUGAAUGGCGAAGGCGCUGUACUAGAACGGAUCCGACGGUGAGGGACGAAAGCUGGGGGAGCAAACGGGAUUAGAUACCCCGGUAUGGACGGAAGUGGAAUUUAGGCAUCAUCGGCCAAACCAUAUAUGUGGUUGAAAUUGACGGAGACUUUGCAUAUCUGCUCGGUCUCUUUGCCGGUGAUGGAUGGUUCCAGACAAGAGGGAUAGCCAUAGGGACGAAAUAUAAGGAGCGGGCAGAACAUAUGGCCCGCCUUAUGGAAAAGGUGCUAUCAAAACAGCC